GCUGGAGACGAAGAAGAAAAUGUCGAAGAAGAUGACCGAAGACAGUCUCAUUGAGUACUCCUUUAAGAACAAGGGUCCUGUGAAGACACAGGCCCUUCCUCUAGCACCAAUUCUGUUGGUGUAGAAUUUUGUCGAUGCCGGAGAAGCUGGAGUCGAGGGGAUCAUGGCCGCCACCGGGACCUGCAAAGAAAGUCUAAACCAGAGUUGGGGGUGC
rnacentral:lncRNA from 1 species